rnacentral:rRNA from 1 species
AUGAGAAUUAUAAGCUGGAACUGCCGGGGACUCGGGAACGGCCCGGCAGUUCGUGGCCUCUUGGACAUCAAGAGGGCGGAGGAUCCCAACAUUCUCUUCUUAUGUGAGAUGAAAUUGCAUGAGAAGGAGAUGGAGCAAUAUAGGUGGAAACUAGGGCUUGUCAAUAUGUGCGUAAGAAAUCCGGAUGGUAGGAGCCGGGGCUUGGCGAUC